UUGUUAUUUUAUAUGUACAUAAUAUGCAUCUUCACGAACUCACCUUGCAUUCUCUUAUGUUUAGUUUGAAUGUUCGCAACCUUAAAAGGGCUUGUACUUCUAUUGUGAGAUCGAAAAUAACAGCUCUCAUCGAGAUAUUUUUUUCUUGAGUUAUCUGUACAGGAAUUCAAUGGAACAAAUUAAAUAUAAAUCAAAAUGAAAUAAUAUAUAUAUAGAAAAACAGAACUAGCUUUGAAAUUGGUCUAAUUAAAAAUAAAAAUAACGCCCGGCGUUCUACAACGCACAUUUACUACUAAGUUCCUACCCUCCCCAUCUCUUCCCGUCUUGUUUCCAUCGCCCGAAAACCAUGUGUGCUGCGAACCGCUAUAGAUUUCGGG
rnacentral:lncRNA from 1 species